AGAGUUGUGGCUCAAUGGCAGAGCAUCUCCUUUGCAUGCAGAAGGUCCCAGGUUCAAUCCCUGGGAUCUCCA